UUUUUAUCUAAUAAAAUUCCGAAAACUGUUAAAGAGAUAUCAGUUAUUAUUUUCGAAAUAUUUUGAUAAGUUUAGAUCAGCAUUAAAACAGGAAACAUUAUCCCACAAUCCCUUAAAUUUCGAGUUUUCAGUUAUUAUCACAAAACAGCUGUUAACGAGGUUGCUACUCGCAACCAUGAGGUUGCUACUCGCAACCAUAAGGUUGCGACUCGCAACCAUAACGUGAUUUAUCGCAACCAUGAGAUUGCGACUCGCAACCAUAACGUGAUUAGUCGAAACUAAGGUUGCGACUCGCAACCAUAACGUGAUUAGUCGAGACUA
rnacentral:lncRNA from 1 species